GGUCCCAAUAAAGUUAAUAGCAGGUAUAAAGAUAGUAACAUAAAAACAUCUGAAUGGUCAGAGGUUAUAAGUGAUAUUAUUUUUAUCUCAGUUUAGAAGAGAAAACUAGACAGGCAAUCCUGAUUCUGUGAGGUUGCUGAGUUUCAUUCUCUCAUUUUCACACUAAUAUAGUACUGGAAAAACCUGAUGCUAAAAGUUGAGUCAUAUUCAUUGGUAUGAGUCUAUCAUCACAAAAUAAGCAGACAUCAUGGUUUUGUAAGUUUCAGAAACCAAAAUUUCUGUAUAAACCUGAAGUCAUUUAUAUUUUCUAAAUUAAUAUAACAAAAAGAGCAUCAAGUUUAUGUAUGUAAACAUAAACAGUGGCAACAAUUUAAAGGCUCUUAUAAUUAAUUUUAAAAACAGAAACCUCAGUUAAAAGGCCCUUAUAAUUAACAUUCUAAUUAUAUUUUUAGAUGGUUAAUAUAUAUUCAGUCUUUCAUAUGCUGAGUAUCUUUUGUAAGUUAGUAACUGGGCUGUAUAAAGUGUAUGACAUCGUUUUUUAUAAGACAUUAAUUGAGAUCCCUAUUUUCCUGAGGUGAUUAUUUACCCUGGGUCAGGGUACAGGUCUCUCAGGUAGCCUGCGCUAUCCUUAGUCAGGGUCCAGGUCCACAGCGAUUUAAGAUGACAAGGACGAUUUCUGUGUCAGCACAGUGACAGCUCCAUCCCUCCCAUCCCAUGCCAUACACAUCCUCUCCCCAUCAACAACAACCUUUCACUAGCUUAUUUUCAGAAGUCUAUAUUUGCUUAUAUUUGCUUUUAUCUGACCCUGUCAAAUUCAACUGAGUCAGAUUUUCCCACAUUUUUAUCAUUACCUUGGCCAUUCUUACUAUAAAUAUCCAAGUCAUCUUUUUAUAUAACGGUAGUUUUCUGGAGAAAGAAAAGUUUCAGUGAUAGGUAUUAAAGCAGUUUUCAGCCAUGAGCCAGUCUUAAGUGGAAAGGGAACUUUCAGGAGCUGUCCAGGUGUUGGAGCUUUCUACAGGGAGGCUGGGGAAGCAGUUGGUAGUUCUUUUUUGGUAAUAUACAAGAAAUAUGUAAAUUUCUCCAGCUUUAAGUGUUGACCUCUGUUAAAGCCAAUCAAUUCUUACAAGCUUUUUAGAAGAAUCUUAGUGAAAAUUAUUUUUUUACUAGAACAUUUUUGUAGAAAGACAUGUUCUAAACUAUAUGUAAAAACAAAAUAAAAAAUACAUGAUAGAAAGCUUGUAGAUUUGUGAACAAUGGCUUUGAUACAAUUACGUAGACUUGUUUUUUUUAAUUUUUAAUUUAAUGAUAAAACCUCAAUUGUUUUGUUUUUCUAUUUCAUGUAAAUUUUAGUUUGGAGAAAAAAGGCUUUCUGACAAUAUUGGAUUUGUUUUUUUGAUGAAAGUGGCAGCUUUUUAGAAAAAGGCAAAGCCAAGUUUUUUCCUGCCUGCGGUCAUCAAAAAUCCCUGAUUCCCUAUGAAAGUAGAAUUUCAGUCCAGGCACCUGACUUACACUUCAAGAGGACCACAUUUCAGUGUGGCAGAGGCAGAUCCUAUAAACAGUGUGUGCACAUCACUGCUUUAUAAAACUUCCUCUGUGUCUGGCCUGUGGAAACGAAAAGCAAUGGAAAGUGUCUGAGUGCCUGUGACAGAAGUUCUCCAAGACUUAUCCUGAAAUCUACCUGGCUCUUUCACAGAAGAGAAAAAUAAUGUGAUGUUUUCACAACAAAAUACAAAAAUAAUCUUUAAAUUUCCUCAACAAAUUUUAUUCUCAUAUGACAACAUGAUCAAGUCAUUUGAGCCUGCUGGAAAUAAUCAGAUUGAUUGUUACCCUUGACCUCUGAGAGUUCCUAAAAAUUAUCCUGAGCAGUGCUACCUAUGAACUAAAACCAGAAAUACUGGGUAAACCAGUUACGCUAGUACAACAGGAGCCAGGUGAUGAAUUCUGGUAAUCUCCUACCUCACAAAAGAACAGCACUAAUUACACAUCUGAAGAUACUUUUUUCUGCACUUUGGAAGCAUCAGCCACUCCAGUGAAGGUGAAUAUGUAGAAGAAAAGCAACAGGACUAUUUUACUACCCAGUCUCUGGAUGCAGAUAGCAGAGAGCACGUGGUCAAGAGCAUCCUGGGCAUCGCUGUGCAAGGUAUGAGCAGGUACCCGCUGCAGCACGUGGUGACAGUCUAGGGUAGCUCCUAUGGUGAGCCACUAGAGGCUGCUCAAUAAACGCAGCCCACAGCCUCGCUCCUCGAGGAGGGCAGGCGAGAUAUGUGCACAACUGAAGAAAACCACUGCUACAGCAGCUGCCUGAAAGACAACAUGUUCUUCCUGGUUGGGAUAGUGAGGAAUUACAAGGAUAGAAGUAAAGAAAAAAAAAGUUGAGAUUUCCUUUUCUGAUUUCUGGGUCAUUUUAUUUGCUGGUUAUAAGCGUUAACAGUUGAAGACAAGAUCUUGCUGACUGACGCUAUUUCUAUUACACAUAGGCCAUUCUGCUUGACGAAAUUGUGGGGGGGAAAUAAUGCACAGGAACAAGCUAGAACUCCAGCAAAAACAUCAACGGAUUUCAUCCUUGGCCAUCCUUUUGAAUAGCUGCUUGGGAAAAGGAGCUUUCCAGCUAAGAAGAACAAAAACUAUACAGCUGUCAUGAGUUCUGAAAAGCAGAAUGAACUACAUCGUAGAAAUGAAUUCAUUUACCAGAAUCUAGGAACAGAUUCAAA